rnacentral:tRNA from 1 species
GGAGAAUUAGCUCAGUUGGGAGAGCACCUGCCUUACAAGCAGGGGGUCACUGGUUCGAACCCAGUAUUCUCCA